rnacentral:lncRNA from 1 species
UCCCAGAGGGCCCCACGGUGCUGCUGCGCCUGCGCAGUUGGUGACACCCCGCCCCUUCCAGGCGCGGGUGUGCCGUAGCCUCAGCCUUUGCUCCUAACCCGGAAGCUACAGAUCGCUGUUGAGAGUUUGAAUUUGUCUCUGGGUGUUGCACAGUGCUGUGUGGUGGAACACCUGCCUGAAAAGCAAAUUACCUGGAAUGCAAAGAAAACUCGUUCACUGACUGAUUCUUCAGCCUCAUUUACUGGGAGCAUUCACCAUUGGUUCGCAUGUGAUCAUCCUGAGCAUUUUCAUCAUCCCUAAUGGUUCCUGGUUUGAUCUACCUACUACCCUGGAGCUCCCAAAGCGACAUGCUGUCCAGAGGCAACAACAGCCUUUCAAAUCAUCACACACUGCUCUGAUCAUCCCUAGUGUUUCUCUUGCUACUUUAGAAGCAGGUCAAGACGAUAGAUGUUAGAGCUGUUUGGGCAGAUCCCUAAGGGAGAAACCUUUUCUUCUUAAUAUCUAGUAAUACCAUUAUAUUUACUUCUUUUAUGUGACUUGGUUUUUAAUUUCCUCAGAAUUUCAUUC